CCUACGGGAGGCAGCAGUGGGGAAUAUUGCACAAUGGGCGCAAGCCUGAUGCAGCGACGCCGCGUGAGGGAUGAAGGCCUUCGGGUUGUAAACCUCUUUCAGCAGGGAAGAAGCGCAAGUGACGGUACCUGCAGAAGAAGCGCCGGCUAACUACGUGCCAGCAGCCGCGGUAAUACGUAGGGCGCAAGCGUUGUCCGGAAUUAUUGGGCGUAAAGAGCUCGGAGGCGGUUUGUCGCGUCUGCUGUGAAAACUCGAGGCUCAACCUCGGGCUUGCAGUGGGUACGGGCAGACUAGAGUGCGGUAGGGGAGACUGGAAUUCCUGGUGUAGCGGUGGAAUGCGCAGAUAUCAGGAGGAACACCGAUGGCGAAGGCAGGUCUCUGGGCCGCAACUGACGCUGAGGAGCGAAAGCAUGGGGAGCGAACAGGAUUAGAUACCCUGGUAGUC
rnacentral:rRNA from 1 species